UUUCUGAUGUUGAUUUGUCUUGGCUGGACACAGUGGUCAAGUUGCAUCGGAGGGCUGGACCUCUCUAUAGACAUGAGAUGUUGUAGGGUAAAGGUGGGGUUGGGCACCAAUAACUGUUAGGUGAGGGCCCAAUGACGACUUUAUUCCUACGGUUGUACGGUGGGUCUGACUUAACUAAGAAAUGGGACCAAUAACUGUUAGGUGAGGUUUUCAUGGCUUAGAGACCAAGUUGCACUGCAACAUGCUUGAGAAGCAUUGUACAAGAGUUGUACAUUCAUCAAUCUAUGUGUCACCAAUAACUGUUAGGUGAGGUGGCAUAUA
rnacentral:lncRNA from 1 species